rnacentral:rRNA from 1 species
GGCAAGGACCACGACACCUUGAAGUGUAGUAGUUUAAUUCUCACUUUGGAGGACCGUAGCCCAGCCAUAAACC